CCGGAGCUUGCUCCACCGGAAAAAGAGGAGUGGCGAACGGGUGAGUAACACGUGGGUAACCUGCCCAUCAGAAGGGGAUAACACUUGGAAACAGGUGCUAAUACCGUAUAACAAUCAAAACCGCAUGGUUUUGAUUUGAAAGGCGCUUUCGGGUGUCGCUGAUGGAUGGACCCGCGGUGCAUUAGCUAGUUGGUGAGGUAACGGCUCACCAAGGCCACGAUGCAUAGCCGACCUGAGAGGGUGAUCGGCCACAUUGGGACUGAGACACGGCCCAAACUCCUACGGGAGGCAGCAGUAGGGAAUCUUCGGCAAUGGACGAAAGUCUGACCGAGCAACGCCGCGUGAGUGAAGAAGGUUUUCGGAUCGUAAAACUCUGUUGUUAGAGAAGAACAAGGAUGAGAGUAACUGUUCAUCCCUUGACGGUAUCUAACCAGAAAGCCACGGCUAACUACGUGCCAGCAGCCGCGGUAAUACGUAGGUGGCAAGCGUUGUCCGGAUUUAUUGGGCGUAAAGCGAGCGCAGGCGGUUUCUUAAGUCUGAUGUGAAAGCCCCCGGCUCAACCGGGGAGGGUCAUUGGAAACUGGGAGACUUGAGUGCAGAAGAGGAGAGUGGAAUUCCAUGUGUAGCGGUGAAAUGCGUAGAUAUAUGGAGGAACACCAGUGGCGAAGGCGGCUCUCUGGUCUGUAACUGACGCUGAGGCUCGAAAGCGUGGGGAGCAAACAGGAUUAGAUACCCNGGUAGUCCACGCCGUAAACGAUGAGUGCUAAGUGUUGGAGGGUUUCCGCCC
rnacentral:rRNA from 1 species